rnacentral:rRNA from 1 species
UACAGAGGGGCAAGCGUUGUCCGGAAUUAUUGGGCGUAAAGGGCUCGUAGGCGGUUUGUCGCGUCGGGAGUGAAAACACCGGGCUUAACUCGGUGCUUGCUUUCGAUACGGGCAGACUAGAGGUAUGCAGGGGAGAACGGAAUUCCCGGUGUAGCGGUGAAAUGCGUAGAUAUCGGAGGAACACCUGUGGCGAAAGCGGCGCACUGGACCACAACUGACGCUGAGGCGCGAAAGCGUGGGGAGCGAACAGG